ensembl:lncRNA
AUGGCUCAAAAAAACAAAAACAAACAAAAAACACUAAAUACAUUUUUUUUUUUAAAUAUUAGGGAUGCACUGAUAUUAAAAUUGACUAGCUCAUUUAAACUGUGUGAUCUAGUCACCACUUCAGAAUCUGCUCACUUUGACGAAUCUGCAGAGGUAGUAAUCCAUGGUGAAUCAUACCCACAACCUGCUUAUAACCCAUCAUCAAUCCAGCACACUCUGGAAACAUACAGCCAUUUGCUGGAUGUAACAUUAGAACAGAAUUUAGAGCCCAUUCAACACUUUGCACAGACGACAGCCAAAGCUAUUAUAGAUUCAGCCGUCAGGAUCAGAAACCCAAGAGAAUCCGUCAAAGUGAGAGAGGAUGAUGUUGAAAUGCUAGCUGAAGAGUUAACCUUACAAGUCUGUUGCAAAGCAUUGGAAGAGAUGGAGAGACAUUAUCACUGUGAUGAUCCAUCAUCCAAAAGUACGGAUGAUAAGGGGGUUGUGGAGGGGACUUAUGGAAAUGCAUCGGUCCUGUGCUCUUCGGGGUACAACUGUGAUAAAAAAACAACUGAAAUGGAAACAGACAACAAGAUGGAGGAAUAUGAUGACACAUCUACCACAGUAUAUGCUAAUUCCUUGAAGAGCAUGGCUAAUCUGGGCUCUAUUGAGUACCCUGAUGCUCCUCCUAGCACCCCUUUACUUCCAGAGAUGAUAAGGAGUCGAGCCAGUUUCACAAGGAAGCUAAAGGGAGGACUGGCUAAAGAGUUCCUUCCUUCAACCCCUCCACCAACCCCCAAAGACCACAUGCAACCAGUAAUGGAGAACCAUAUGACAGACACAUCUGCUGACUUCAUAGUGAGACUGAUGCGCUCACUUUCACUGGAGUGCUGUCAAAACGAAGGCUUAGAAGAAAGCGAGGAUGGAGAAGUUAAUGAUGGCGGACUCCAAAAUGAUGUUCCCAGGCUGACUGACUAUGCAGCUCAUAUUUCUGCAGAUAUCCUUCAUUUUAUCACCACAAAUGAGAUAAAAGUAAAGGAUGAGGGUUAUGUGAAAAGCAUGUUGGCUAUUGCUGACCAACUAGCGAGUGAAAUAGUCACAGCGUCUCUAGCAGAGGUGAUGGCGAGAGGAGAAAGGAAGGUUUUGGAGGAAGGAACAACAUCAUACUCAAUGUAUAAAGUAGACAUGGCUCCAGACACAAGGGCUAUGAUCUCUGCAACAGACAGGGUGAAAGUUUUAGCUAGUGAGCUAAUCAUUAACGCUAUGGUUCAUGCUUUUGCUAAGCUAGGACAGGGUGUGUUUAAACAUGGAACCCAGCCACAUCUUUCAAGCCAAGCUGUAGAACCACAGCCAUGGGAAGAAGGAAGAUAUUCAAACACAUUGUGUAAAGACUCAGUCAACUCCCACAAAGCCAAAACCUUCAGAUGUUGCAGCGAUAAAUCAGAACUGAACCCCAUUACAGAUGACGCCAUGAAAGUGAAAUCAUCGGUACACACAUUUGCCAACAACUUUGCAGAAGACGUGCUUCAGCAUUCUGUGUGUGACGCUUCCAGCAUACUGUUUAACUAUAAGCAAUCUCAGGGAGCAGAAUUUGGCCCAGAGAAAGACAUUACACCAUGGGUAAUCAAGAUGCGUGCUGGGGAAAGUCUUGUCCAGGAACUGCAAUGUGCUCUACUCUGGGCCACAGCCUCUCAGAAAGGGACUAAAGCACUUCAGUUUGAUCUACCAGACAAAAGCCUUCAGCAAAAGCUUUGCAGACUCUCUCGGAGUGCCCGUCUGAAUGGCUGGACCGUGGGUGCUUUGAUUGUGUCUCUCCAUGAGUUUUGUGACAUGCAGCAAGAGACCAGCGGAGGGCACUAUAAGAGCUCCGAUUCUCUCCUGGAGCAUCUGCAGCACCUGAUUGACAAUGUGUGUUUAAACUCAUCUUGA